UACGUAGGGUGCAAGCGUUGUCCGGAAUUAUUGGGCGUAAAGAGCUCGUAGGCGGUCUGUCGCGUCGGAUGUGAAAAUCCAGGGCUCAACCCUGGACCUGCAUUCGAUACGGGCAGACUAGAGUUCGGUAGGGGAGACUGGAAUUCCUGGUGUAGCGGUGAAAUGCGCAGAUAUCGGGAAGAACACCCGUGGCGAAGGCGGUUCUCUGGGACGGUACUGACGCUGAGACGCGAAAGCGUGGGGAGCGAACAGG
rnacentral:rRNA from 1 species